rnacentral:piRNA from 1 species
UUCGAUUGGUUUUUUUGUGUA